rnacentral:sRNA from 1 species
UACAUUCAAAACAUGGCCCGCAAAACUGC